AUAACAUACAUAUAACAACUUUCAUGUAUUUGUGGAACUACAAACAUUCAAAUUAUCAAAAAUGAAAAAGUAACAACAAUACUACAAUUGCCAAUGUGUCCAAGAUCUAGUCAACCUUUAUGACUUAGACCUUGUAAUUAAUCAAUCCCACAAAAAUCUUUAUUUAAUUGCUUAUAAGCCCUCCAAUUCAAGAUCAAUUCACAAGCCUGCAAUUCUUUCUAAUCUCCCCAUUAGUCCCAGUUAGAGGACUAAUUUUACUCAGUUUCACCAUAGCAACGGCAAAGUCUCUAGAAAAAGUAGCACCAUUGGUACUAUAACUCCUAACCAAAUUAUCUUGAGACCCAUUAUUGAAAAGAGCUUGAUCAGAAUGGAAAAGACCUUUGCUUGCAACAAGGUUUUUAUAGUAAUUGUUAUCAAAACUUGUUGGAGUGAGAGUAUCAAGUGGUGCUAAAUUGGUGUCACCACCAGAAAGAGGACAAUUUAAUUUCCUUAAGGUUGCAAAGUUUGUGUCAAUGUUGGUUUCAUUGUAUAUGCGAUUUCUGAAAAAUUGGCACUCUCCUUGGCCUAUGGUGUGUGCACCAGAAAGUACUGUGAGGUCACUUGCAGUUAGACCCUUGUCUGUAAACAUUUUGGUGAGAGUGGAAAGGUCAGAAAAUGGUGAAGGGAUUUGACUAUUUGCUGCACUUUG
rnacentral:lncRNA from 1 species